UACGUAGGGGGCGAGCGUUGUCUGGAAUCAUUGGGCGUAAAGCGCGUGUAGGCGGCCCGGUAAGUCCGCUGUGAAAGUCCAGGGCUCAACCCUGGGAUGCCGGUGGAUACUGUCGGGCUCGAGUCCGGAAGAGGCGAGUGGAAUUCCUGGUGUAGCGGUGAAAUGCGCAGAUAUCAGGAGGAACACCAAUGGCGAAGGCAGCUCGCUGGGACGUGACUGACGCUGAGACGCGAAAGCGUGGGGAGCAAACAGG
rnacentral:rRNA from 1 species